rnacentral:lncRNA from 1 species
GGCAUAUGGAAGUUCCCAGCCUAGGGGUUGAAUCAGAGCUAUGGCUGCCAGCCUAUGCCACAGCCACAGCAAUGCAGGAUCCAAGCCACAUCUGUGAACUACACCAGAACUCACGGCAAUGCCGGAUCAAUGACUCAGGGAGCAAGGCUAGGGAUUGGACCUACAUCCUCAUGGAUACUAGUCAAAUUCGUUUCCACUGUGCCACAUUGGGAACUCCUCAUUAAUGUGGUUUUAGAAGGACAAUGGUUGCUGUGCAGUGAAUAGUUUGCACAGGGUCAAUUCCAGAAUCAGGAGUCCAGCGAGAAGGCUACUGACAUGGUCCUGGAGGGAGGUGACAGUGGUUUGGACUGAGAGGUGAUAGCAGAAGCAGAGAAGAGUAAGUGAACUAAGACAGAGUUCAGACAUAAAACUGAUGGCAUUUGCCGACAGUGAACUUUGGGAAAUGGGGAAGAGGAAGGAAUCAAGGAUGAGUUGUAGGCUUCUGGUUUAUAUACUUGGCUAGAUUGUGGCAUGAUUUUUUUUUUUUUUUUUUGGUCGUCUUUUUGCCAUUUCUUGGGCCGCUCCCACGGCAUAUGGAGUUUCCCAGGCUAGGGGUCUAAUCAGAGGUAUAGCCACCGGCCUACACCAGAGCCACAGCAACAUGGGAUCCGAGCCGCAUCUGCAACCUACACCACAGCUCACGGCAACACCGGAUCCACUGAGCAAGGCCAGGGACUGAACCCGCAGCCUCAUGGUUCCUAGUCGGAUUUGUUAACCACUGCGCCAUGACAGGAACUCUGAUUGUGGCAUGAUUUAUUGAUGUAUCAAUGGACCAAAUGGGGCUGGAAAGUCAAGAUUUUAUUUUGACAGGGUAAUAAAGAUGCCAAUUACAUAUUCAUGUGGAUGUUCCACGAUGACAGUUGACUAUGUAAUUCUGAAAUUAAGAGAGUGGUGAGAACUAGAGAUAUAAAGUGGAGCCAUCAGCUGAUGGAUGAUAGUUGAAGCCUUGGGACCACGUGAUGUCACCCAGGGAAAAUAUAAAUGGGGGCCCAGAGGAAAUGACCUAGGAAAAGGACAUUUCAUAUCAAACGUUUGAAAAAUGAGGAUUAGCCUAUGGGUAGAAGCAUGUGAUGUCUCAGUAUUCAUGUGCAGAAAAUGUUUCAAAGAGAAAGUUAGUUAGUCAGUCAGUUAGUUCUGGAGAGAACCAUAUCCCACAUAGGAAUUAGGAAGAAGAAAAACUAGAGCUUGGAAUCAUGUUCUUUCUCUGCAGUCUAUAUCCUAAAGUUUUUCUACAGUGUCAUGUCUCUGGAUUAACUACCAUAGUUCCCAAUUCACCCGUGUAUUGAAGUUCGUAUAAUUCAAAUUCUGAUACUCUUAAUGCACACACUGGCCUCUCAAUAAAGUUGGUAAUGUUUUAUUUUAAUUAGACCCUACGUAACACUGAUAUUAUUGAUUUUAGGUCACCUUUCUCCUUUUGAAUUUGAGGCUGAUUUAUUUAUGCUCAGAUAUUAACGGAUUAUCUGAAAUCAUUCACCCUCAACUAUCUCUAGUUUUUGUUACAUUUCAAUAGAGAACAAAAAUAUUUUUAAUGUGCCCUUCCCAACUUCGUAGUUUCAUUCCACUUGGAUUUGAAACAAGAAAUGGAGGAUUGUUUCUUAUUCCUUUGUUAAAAGGAAUGAGAUAAAAAAUCAUUAUAAAUAUUUUAGGAAUAUAAGAAAGAAGGAAUUUUGGCAUUGUCCUUUAAGACUAAAGAAUAUAUUUUAUAGUACUCACUCAUAAUUAAGAAUUGUGUUCUUGGUUUUGUAAUUAAACUGGAAGAGUAAAAUAUUACUUGUGAUUAUGUUCAUUAUGUGAAUUAAAUGCUGCAAUUCAAUGUAAAUGUUAUAUACUCAUAAAAGAGAUUCAUAAUUGGAAUGUAAGGCUAAUUGCAUAUAAGACAUGUGGGAAAGAAGAAAAUUAUGAGACACUGUAACAAUGACUUUCCUGGCUAUUGUAAAUCUAGUAGCGUAGUGAUGAAACAUGAUGUGUCAGACUUAAAAUGCCAUUAAGAGAGUCUAGUGAUGCAACCAGUGAGCAAAACAGACUUAAACUCCCAGUAAAUUACUGUUUCGUUUAAAAUGAUCUAAAACAUAUAUUAAAAUAUUAGCAAUUAAGGAUUUAGAAAAGUCACAAUGAAUGCAUGAAAUAACUGGGUUAAAAGCUUAUUGUUUUAUGGGAAUUCCAGUGUCAUGGCUCAGUGGUAAUGAACCCAACUAGUAACCAUGAGGACACAGGUUCAAUCCCUGGCCUCGCUCAGUGGGUUAAAGAUCCGGUGUUGCAGGGAGCUGUGGUAUGGUUUGCAGACACAGCUAGGCUCCACCGUUGCUGUGGCUGUGGUAUAGGCCAGCAGCUGCAGCUCUGAUUCAACCCCUAACCUGGGAAUUUCCAUAUGCUGCAUGUGCAGCCCUAAAAAGACCAAACAAACAAACAAAAACUUAUUGUUUUAAAAAAGAAUGCUUUUAAAGAUCACACGCACACACACAGACAAAACUCACAAAGUCCCCUAAUACAAUUUGAGUAUUUGUUUAAAUCACUAACAUUUAUCAACUAGGAAAAAACCUAAGAACUCACAUCUCCCCCAUCCAUCAUGGGGGGGGUAUAUUUUGUAUCUUUGCACAUAGCUCAAGAAAAAUUUUUUUUCCAUUAAAGAUUUAAAAUUGUCCUUUACAAAAAAAAAGCAUCUUUGGGUUAGCUGUUUUUACCUCUGUUUUUUAUACCUCUAUUGUUUACACCUCUAUUUUCUAUUUUUCUAUUUGAGCCUCCAUAUAAGGGUUACUUUUUCAGUAUUUAACCAGUGUUUCUUUGUUAAACCUUGCUGUUUUCAAAAAAAUUUUUUCCACCAUAUGAUUUUUCUUCCAGCCUUUCAGAAUAAUCUCAGACACUGCUAGGGCUUUAUAGGGCUAAAUACCAGUAGUAAAUAGGAUUUGGAUCAUUUAAUUCCUGCACUUUAAAUAUAUUUGCGAGAGAGGUAAAUUUUAUUUAAGGGCAGCCAACAUUUAUGGACUCUCGGCUGUGUAUGUAGCUAUCCCAUCCUUGGCAUCAAGUUUACACAAUCCCUGCAGACUGCUGAGACCCAUGAAGCAGCCAAAGGACACAUUUACCGAGCAAUAAAUUACAAAUGUAAGCUAAUAAUGUAGUAGAGAAUCUGAGCCCAUAUGUGCUGAGGAACAUCAAGCAGAAGAAUGAUGAGACAGCUGAUGAAGGUAUCCAGGCGCCUGUGAAAAUUUGCCCCUAUUUCACUAUAUAUUAAAUUACUAAUAAACAACACUGGGGAAUUUUCUCUUUCAUGCAUGUUUAACAUUGGAAUGAUAUGUGUGGGCUGUUAAAGGAAGAUUUAUGAUGAAAUUUGCUACAUCUUAAUUUAUGUAAAAUGCUUAUUAAUUAAAUAAUCUCUUUAACUUUUCCCUCAAGGAUUGCUUGUAAAUUUAUAUAUGUAUUUUCUUUUUUUAUUUAAGUAUAGUUCAUUUACAAUUUUUUCAACUGUACAGCAAAACGAUUCAGUUAUAUAUACUCUUUUACAAAAUUCCCCGUGCUAUAUUGUUACUCUUUAUAUCUAUAUUCUUAUUGUUUAUCUAUUUUAUGUAUAAUCAUUUGUAUAUGAUAACUCCAAACUCUUAGUUUAUCCCUCCCCACCCCUUUCUACCUUGGUAACCAUAAGUUUGUUUUCUGUGUCUGUGAUUCUAUUCCUGGUUUUUAAAUUAAUUCAUUUGUAUCAUUUUUUUUUAGAUUCCACAUAUAAGUGAAAUCAUAUUUGUCUUUGUCUGACUUAACAUCACUUAGUAUGAUAAUCUCUAAGUCUAUCCAUGUUACUGCAAAUGACAUUAUUUUAUUGUUUUUAUGGCUGAGGAAUAUUCUAUUGUGUGUGUGUAAUAUGUGUGUAAUAUGUGUGUGUGUGUGUGUGUGUGUGUGUGUGUGGUAUCUUCUUAUGUCAAUCAUCUAUUGAAGGCACUUGGGUUGUUUGUACCCAUGUCUUUGCUAUUAUAAACAGUGCUGCUAGGAACAUUGGGGUGCAUGUAUCUUCUCAAAUUAGAGUUUUUAUCUUUUCUGGAUAUAUGUCCAAGAGUGGGAUUGCUGGAUCAUAUGGCAACUCUAUUGUUGGGAACCUCCAUACUCUUCUCCAUAGUGGCUGUAACAAUAUAAAUUCCCACCAACAGUGUAUGAAAGUUUUCCUUUUCUCCACGCUCUCUCCUACAUCUAUAGACUCUUUGGUGAUGGCCAUUCUGACUGGUAUGAGGUGGUACCACAUUAUAGUUUUGAUUUGCUUUUCUGUAAUGACUAGUGAUGUUGAGCAUUUUUUCUUGUGCCUGUUGUCCGUGUAUAUGUCUUCUUUGGAGAAAUGUCUAUUUAGGUCUUCUAUACAGUUUUUCUUUCUUUCUUUCUUUCUUUCUUUCUUUCUUUCUUUCUUUCUUUCUUUCUUUCUUUCUUUCUUUCUUUCUUCCUUCCUUCCUUCCUUCCUUCCUUCCUUCCUUCCUUUCUUUCUUUCUAGGUUACUCAUUGUUUUUUCUUUUAUUUUUUAUUAUUUUAUUAUUAUUUAUUAUUAUUUUAUUAUUAUUUUUUUCUUUGUACAGACACAUUUGUGGCAUAUGGAAGUUCCCAGGAUAGUGGUCAAACUGGAACUGCAGCUGAGGCCUAUGCCACAGCCACAGCAAUAAUGGAUCUGAGCUGCUACAAACCUACUUAGCUUGCAGCAUUGCCAGAUCCUUAACCCACCUAGUGAGGCCAGGGAUCAAACCUGUAUUUUCAUGGACACUUCAUCAAGUUCUUAACCUGCUGAACCACAAUGGGAACUCCAUCUUUUAUUUUUUAAACUAAGCUGUAUAAGCUGUUUGUAUAUUUUGGAAAUUAAUCCUUUGUCAGUCGCAUCAUUUGUAAAUAUUUUCUCCCAUUCUGUCUUUUCAUUUUGUUUAUGGUUUCCUUUGCUGUGCAAAAACUUUUAAGCUUAAGUCCAAUUUGUUUAUUAUUUUGCUUUUAUUUCUUUUUCCUUGGGAGACUGAUUUUUAAAAAAAAAUAUUGCUGAGAUUUAUGUUGAAGAGUGUUCUUCCUAGGAGUUUUAUGGUGUCAUGUCAUACAUUUAGGUAAUUGAACCAUUUUGAAGGGUUUUUUUUAUUUUAUUUUAUUUUUUUUUGUACAUGGUGUGAGGGAAUGUUCUAAUUCCAUAAAUUUAUAAGUAGCAGUACAGCUUUCCCAGUACUACUUGUUGAAGUGGAAAUCUUUUCUCCAUUUUUUAUUCUUGCCUCUUCUGUUGUAGAUUAAUUGAUCAUAGGUGCAUUGAUUUAUUUACAGACUUUCUGUUCUAUUCCAUUUUUCUAUAUUCCUAUUUUUGUGUCAAUACCAUGCUGUUUUGAUAACUGUAGCUUUGUAGUAUAGUCUGAAGUCUAGAAAAGUUAUGCCUAUGACUUUGUUCUUCUUUCUCAGGAUCAUUUUGACAAUUCUGUAUCUUUUGUAGUUUCACAUAAAUUUUAGGAUUAUUUGUUCUAGUUCUGUGAAAAAUGUCAUGGGUAUUUGAUAGGGAUUGCAUUAAAUCCUUAGAUUGCUUUGAGUAGUAUGGCCAUUUAAACAAUAGUAAUUCUUCUAUUCCAAGAGCACAGGAGAGCUUUUCAUUUCUUUGAAUUAUCUUCAAUUUACCUUAUUGAUGUUUUAAAGCUUUCAGUGUAUGUCAACCUCCACUUUCACUUCUGGACCUAUAGUGCAUUCACAUUUAAAAAUGAUAAAAUGUCUAGGAGUAAAUUGACUCACAUAUACCAUGAUGAACAAUUGAUAAUAACCCAUUAUCCUAUUUCAAAGUCACCAAAGAAAGAAAGAACCAAAACAUAUUAAAGGGACUCUAAAUAGAAAUAUGACUUAAAUCUGGAAUUCCUGUCAUGGCGCAGUGGUUAACGAAUCCGACUAGGAACCAUGAGGUUGAGGGUUCGAUCCCUGGCCUUGCUCAGUGGGUUAAGGAUCCGGCAUUGCCAUGACCUGUGGUGCAGGUUGCAGAUGCGGCUCGGAUCCCGCGUUGCUGUGGCUGUAGUGUAGGCCGGUGACUACAGCUUCGAUUUGACCCCUAGACUGGAAUCCUCCAUAUGCCGCGGGAAGCAGCCCUCAAAAAGGCAAAAAGACAAAAAAAAAAAAAGAAAGAAAGAAAGAAAUAUGACUUAAAUCUAAUAUGUUUGGAGGGCCUCCAAUACCACAAUAAGAUGUCUCUUCCUCUGAUCAACUUCUGAUACUGAUCUUGCCAUCGUUUAGUUACUCAGAGAUUUAAAUUCUCUUGACAAAGCCAUUUUAACUUAUCUCAGAGUUGCUCUUUGUGAUGCAUGGGCACCAUUUUAAGUAUUUCUAAAUUUUUUUCAAAUUUCAAGAAUUAUUUGCUAAUAUAAAUUCGUGUAUAAUCUGUAAGUGGAGUACCAGUCCAUAGGGUGGGGUGGUUGUGGCCUCACAUCCCAGGAGGAUGGAAUGAAGAUCCCUGGCCUUGCUCAGUGUAUUAAGGAUCUGGCGUUGCUGUGAGGUGCAGCACAGCUCAUAGAUAUGGCUUAGAUCUGGGGGUGUUGCUGUGGCCGUGGUGUGGGUCACAGCUGCAGCUCCAAUUUGACCCC